rnacentral:rRNA from 1 species
CAGUAACGGCGAGUGAAGCGGCAACAGCUCAAAUUUGAAAUCUGGCCUCUCGGGGUCCGAGUUGUAAUUUGUAGAGGAUGUUUUGGGUACCGCCCCGGUUUAAAUUUCUUGGAACAGAAUGUCAAAGAGGGUGAGAAUCCCGUCUUGGACCGGCGGUAGGGCCUGUGUAAAACUCCUUCGACGAGUCGAGUUGUUUGGGAAUGCAGCUCAAAAUGGGUGGUAAAUUUCAUCUAAAGCUAAAUAUUGGCCAGAGACCGAUAGCGCACAAGUAGAGUGAUCGAAAGAUGAAAAGAACUUUGAAAAGAGAGUUAAACAGUAUGUGAAAUUGUUGAAAGGGAAGCGCUUGCAACCAGACUUGAGCGCGACGGUUCCCCUAGCCUUUUGGCUAGGCUACUCCGUCGUGUCCAGGCCAACAUCGGUUCUGAGGGUCGGUCAAAGGCCCCGGGAAUGUACCUACCCACGGGUAGACUUAUAGACCGGGGUGUCAUGCGGCCUCUCGGGACCGAGGAACGCGCUUCGGCUCGGAUGUUGGCGUAAUGGUUGUCAGCGACCCGUCUUGAAACACGGACCAAGGAGUCUAACAUCUAUGCGAGUGUUUGGGUGUCAAACCCGGAACGCGGAAUGAAAGUGAACGGAGGUAGGAAGCUUCGGCUGCACUAUCGACCGAUCCUGAAGUUUACGGAUGGAUUUGAGUAAGAGCAUAGCUGUUGGGACCCGAAAGAUGGUGAACUAUGCCUGAAUAGGGUGAAGCCAGAGGAAACUCUGGUGGAGGCUCGCAGCGGUUCUGACGUGCAAAUCGAUCGUCAAAUUUGGGUAUAGGGGCGAAAGACUAAUCGAACCAUUAAAGCCACU